rnacentral:ncRNA from 18 species
CACCCGUAGAACCGACCUUGCG